AUGUCCUACACUCCAUUUAUGUUAUGACUUUGUGUGUUAAGAGAAAUAUUAUGCAGUAUGAUUUUAAAGUUUCAUUGUUCGCUCUAUGCGAUUUUUUCCUGUCUAACAGUUAUGACAGCAAUAUGUCAUGGAAAUCGCAUAAAGAGAGGUAAUGAUUUCAAAUUCACCUAUUCUUUUUUUCCAGAAAUUUAACGAAAAUCUGUGUCCAUGUGAUGUACAUAUAAUUUAUAUAUAUAUAUAUUUAUAUACUAGUAUUACUACAUUUAUGAUGCUAUAUAGAUACUUCGCAAUACAGGAACACUUAUUGCUAUUGGUUAUCUCUACAUUGAAAUGAGAAAAGUGGAACCAAUUGUAAAUAUUACUCGCAGUGCUUGAUUAAAGCGUACUCUUGUUAUUAUACGGUGUUACAAUAAUUUACGUCCUUGCUGCUUGCAUGUAUGCUUUUCAAGGUUAACAACCUGUCAACCUCUGAAACCUUCAAAGAGGGAGAUCUCCCCCUCAGCUAUGACAGCCAGACACAUGUCUCUGUGACAGAUAAGGAGAGAUUUUACGUAUGACCUGUUUUACGUAAUCAUAUAAAUGUUCUAUUGCUGACUAUUAAAAUUACUUCAAUUGAUUUAUAUCAUAUAUGGACCAUAAUUUGUUAUUGGGCUCGUUUCCUAUAACGAUAGAAAAGUGAUAAAAAUGUGUAUUACUGUAAGAAAAGUUGUAACUACAUCUAAAGAUGCCUUUAUUUUUAUCAACAUACAAGUGUAUGCUACUCUUCCCUAGAAAAAAAAUUGAAAUUAACAAAUUUCAAAGAUUAUACGACCAUAUUUUUGUGUCGUUUCUCGCGUUACUUUUCGCUUCCAAAGUGCAUAACGCUGACUGAUUUGUAGAUAAUCGUCACCGGUAAAUUCGUAACUUUUGCUUUCAAAUAAUAAAGAACAUCGACCAAUAAGAAUAGUCAGAAAAAAGCCGAAACAUAAGUAUUUCUGUAGCAGGUGUGAGAACAUAGCAUUAAUUGGUUUCCGAUUUCGUAACGCAAAUUUUAGAUGAUGUAAUCUGCUUGUUGCAAAUAGAAUUUUUAUAACAUAUGCAAAAUAUGAACUCUCGCGAAUGUUCAAACAGGUAAAUCAGAGAUGAAUUUACAUUCUAGUUUUGUUCUUCGUAAUAAUUAAGUUAGAAAUGACGUUAUCGUUAUGCGUUACAUUUCACACGAAACAGAAGUCAGUUAUUUCCUUUUUUUUUUUAUUAAAAUUGUUUUUGUCGUUAAGUUCUAAUCAUUACUGGUCAUACGUGAAACAUGUGACUAACAUGAUACAUCCUUACAGCCGGAUAUUGAAUACUUAGGUCUAAACAUUGUUUUUGUUUCAACGGGAUGUUGCAACAUAAUCUGUAGACUUGUUGUCUUGUUUAAAAAAAGGAAAAUACAAUUUUCAAAGAUUGCCGGGGGUCUAUUAUUUUUCUAUGUGCAUAAUGUUACAUACGAUCUUGUGUGAAAAUAAAUGCCCAAUGACUUGACAAAUUGAUUUCAGAUUUGACAGACGUUAUAACACACUUCGUUUUUCAGAUAACGAUGUAAAGGGUCCUUGGAAAAUUCAAUCGACAUUACGUCUCUUAUCAUUGUGCCGAUGCUCGUUGGAUUGAUUUUGCUUCAGCAGUAAAUAUUACUGGAUAUUUUAGGUGAAUAAAGAUAAUUUAAAAAAAAAUACAUGUUAAUGUACCGUUACACUUGGAAUGUACAAAGUUGGUAUCUUUGUCACAUAUUUAAUUUUUUUUUUUUAUUCAUGUUCUGCAAACACUUUUCAGAAACACAAUAAACUUGUCAAAGGAGAAGUAAACUUUUACUGCAUGACUUGAAGGAGUACUUUAUUGAUUUUACCCACUAAAGUAGGUUAAAAUGCGGAAACAUGUAGAUGGUGUACAGGUCAAAAUAUCACAUGGUGCCUAUUUUAAAGAUUUUAAUUCCAAGUUAAAAGUUUUUUUCUUUACUGGAUUUAAAGAAUUUUACAUUGCCAAUGAUUUGGAAUAAAUUGUAUAUAACUGGAAUUUCAAAACCAAAUAAAAUACAUUUUUUUGGCUAAACAUCAAGAUACAUGAUUUAUGGUAUCCUGUAUCAAUGAAGAAAAUAUGAAAUCUGAAUAAAUUGUACUUAAUUGUUUUCAAAACAGCACAUAUUUAGGAGUUUUAUAUACUGUUACAUUAAGAUAGAUUUUAAGAAAAAGUAUACUGUUCAGAUUAUUUUAAGCAGAUUUUGAUUAAAAUAAAACUAAAAAAUGCUUUCGGUUUCUUAUGUUUCCUGUGGCGUUUAAAAAACUUUAAUUUAACAUUGAAAAUAGAUUUUAAAUAUUAACAUGAAGCAAGUAACACUAGUUAUGGUGUUCAUUUAUGUCUUUUGAAUAUAUUGUGCAAAUAAAGAAAAUAAGAUUGGUUCCUGUUUGGUUUCCUGUCACGUAAACGGUGAAUCAAAAAUGUAUUAAUUUUUUCUUGAAAACUCAAUUGUUCCAUUAAUACUAUUCUAACACCAACACAACCACAGAAUAAAAGUUAAAGUUUUAGAACUUAUAAAAAAGGAUACAAAAAAAACAAAGGCCGAAUACCAAAUUAUGGUCCAUAUAUGCUGUGACUUUUAUUUAUAUGACCAUUAUUUAUGGCACUGUAAGUGUAAAUUGGAAAUCAGUGGCGGAUCCAAAACUUUUCCUAAAAGGGGGGGGGGAGGGGCUCGCUGACUGACCUAAGAGGGGGCCCGCUCCAGUCAUGCUUUAAUGAUUCCCGAUAUAAUCAACCAAAUUUGUCCAACAAAAGUGGGGGCCCAGGCCCCCCACCCCCCUGGAUCUGCCUAUGGAAAAAAAUAAUCUAUGAUAAAAUAUUUAAUUGUUAAAUAUUGGGUAUACAGGGAUGUGCCAAAAAUAUGGGUAAUGUUUUUGCUAGAUUUUAUAUCUUUUAAUGACAUCCUGUCAUGCCUGUAGAUAUUAAAAUGCAUUUAUGUUUGAUAAGUUUGAUAAAUGUAUAUACAAAAAAACGAGAAAAGAGAAUGAGAAAAAACAGCUAUGAAAAAAACUAAAGCUUAGAUACAAGUAAUAAGACAGGGGUGGAUCCAGCCAUUUUAAAAAGGGGGGGGGGGUCCAAACCCAGGACAAAAGGGGGAGAAAAAGGCUAUAUGUCCCCACUCAAAUGCUCAAAUGCAUUAAUCAGCCAAAAAAGGGGGGUUCCAGAUAGCAAGUUAGAAUGCCACUUAUGCAUCAAAAUUGAAAAAGCUUUUAAAUGCUCAUUUUGACCAUGUAAUGCCAAAAUGGUAAAUUUUUGCAGAUUUCUAUCAAAUAAAAGUUUAAAUCCUUUAGUUUUAUGCUUUUUGACAAAUUGACACCAUUAAAUCAUUCAGAGAAGUUGCCAAAGUACAGAUUCUACAUUGUAUAUUUCAUGAUUUCACCUCUUAGGUCCGAGUACACACUGACAGUUAUUAUGUAGUGCAUUUCUUUAAGACAAUAAAUGAAAUUAAAAAAAAUCCCACCUGUGCUUUUCAAUAAUAUUUUUACAGUGUGUUGUACUACUUUUUGGAUAAAUUAUAUCAAAAUUAUAGAAAACUUCAUCAGCUCUAACUCAAAAUAUGGACAAUUUUAUGUAAAGGGGUUCUUGAAAUCUUUUAACAGCUUCCGAAAUGCUAAUAUUUUACCUAUUUCAACUGGACCAAAUCACUACUUUACAUUAUAAUUCAUGAAUCAAAUUUUUUUACAGUGUAAUUUUAUCCCCCUUCUUGCUACUCGGGGCAUAAAACAUGAAGAAAUAAAUUUGGAAGGGGUACAAAAAAAAUUGACAAGUAACACACUGUCCACAAUAGGGACUAUAAUUGCGGACAACGAAAAUUAAGGAACGAUAACUGUGUACUCAGACCACAUGCUAGUGAGACUGGUGUUAAAAUUAUUGUAUCAAACAUGAAGUUUUGAAAAAAGUUUAAAAACUUGAAGUUGAAGUUUCAGAGAAUGACAAUCACAGGGGUAAAUUUUAUGGUAUUAAAAACAGGUAUAAAGAUAGGAGACAAUAUAAAGAUAAAACUCAAGAUGUAAGAUAUCAAAGAUAUCCAUACAAUGAUGUCAGACACACAGCUGUCGUGGCAGGGUAAUCAUUAUAGCUACAACAAUGAGACAUCUCAAAACGUGAAUAACAAUUAUAGAUACAACAAUCACCAGUCAAGGGCCUAACUUAGAUAAGUUAUCAGAGAAAAAUAACAUGCAUGUGUUAUUACAGACACUUUCAUGAGUGUCUUUUUUCCUUAAUCUGUAAUAACAUAUGUUUGUUAUCAGUUUAAUAUAUCAUAAAAUUUUUAUCUUUAAUGAGCACUUGGGAAUUCUUAAAACUUUGGGCAGUAGCUUAAUAUAUUAAAUUACCUUGAUAACUAAUUUUCUAAUUUCAUUAAUACUAUUUUGAUCAACCAUGGUAAAUCAAUGAGACAAGGCUUUUAAGGGAAAACUAAGCUGUAAUAACAAGGCUCAAGUUAUUACAAGCAUGUAACUUACUAUAUGCAGAUAUGAGAGUAAAUGAGACACUUGGAAUCUUGCGCAGUGCCUCAUUACAAGCUCUGAUAUCAUUUCUUACAAUGAAUUGAAAUACAUUGUUAUGCAUGUCAGAGCAAAGCCUUUAAAGAGAUAUAAAGAAUCUGUAAUAACACCCUUUAGUUAUUGCAGGAAUAUAUUUUCUGUAAUGACAUAGGUGUACUAUGCAUGAUUGGUAAACUAUGAGCUGUUAUAUCUUUGCAAAGAUUAGUAUACUUAAGGGACGACAUCAAAAGAUCGAUGUAGGAUAAAAAACUUAAAUCAAAUAGUUUGGGGGUGGGGGUUAAAAUUCUGCAAGUUUUGUAUAUCUAAAAUCGAUUUUUACAUAUAUCCCUAUUGGUAAAUCAAUUUUUCCCAAAUUAAGUUAAGAGGGGGGUGGGGGUCAGUGGAAAAAGUAUGUGAAUUAAGUUUUUUAUCCUACAUUGAACUUUUGAUGUCGUCCCUAAAGAAAAUUAUAAUAUCAAUAGAACUUGAGAAAAAUUUAACAAAAUAAAGGUUGUAUAUUUUCCCUUUGAAACAUGUAACAUACAUAUGUUAUCACAGUUUUUUGAUAUUUUAGCCCACAAUAACAACAUGCAUGUUAUUAGGGCCCCGCCUUUAGGCGGGUCGCCCUAUAGUGAUCAGUCUUUCCAUCCGUCCGUCUGUCCGUAACACUUAAACUUUGUGUCCGCUCCAUAUCUAGAGAACCAUUAUGAUUUCAUACUUUAUACUUUACAUGUUUAUUAACCACCACCAGAGGGCGUGUCAUGUUGUAUGUACAACUUCAGAGGUCAAAGGUCAAGGUAAAAAAACUUUGGUUUCAGUUGACAACCCUGUGUCCUGUUUUGAAGAUCGUGUCCGCUCUAUAUCUUGAGAACCGUUAUGAUUUCAAAGUUUAUACUUGACAUGUAUAUGAACCAACACCAGAGGGUGUGUCAUAAUUUAUGAACGACUGCCUAGUGCAAAGUUCAAGGUCAAAAACUUUGGUUUCAGUUGACAAUCCCAUGUCCUAUGGUAAAGAUUGUGUCCGCUCUAUAUCUUGAGAACCGUUAUCAUUUUAAAGUUUAUACCUGAAAUGUAUAUAAACCAAUAUCAGAGGGUAUGUCAUAAUUUAUGUUCAACUUCCUAGGUCAAAGGUCAAGGUCAAAAACUUUGGUUUCAGUUGACAACCCCAUGUCCUAUUGUAAAGAUUGUAUCCGCUCUAUAUCUUGAGAACCGUUAUCAUUUCAAAGUUUAUACUUGACAUGAUUAUAAACCAACACCAAAGGGUGUGUCAUAAUUUAUUUACAACUUCCUAGGUCAAAGGUCAAGGUCAAAAACUUUUAUUUCAGUUGACAAACCCAUGUCCUAUGGUAAAGAUACAAUUUUUUAAUGCACAUUAUUCACAGCGGGGCCCACAGAGAUGGCUCCCAUCUCAAUGAUAUCUAGUUUUUCUCUAAUAACUUAUUUUAGUUAGACCCUUGACUUGAUCACACAACACAAACUAACAACAGGGAUAUAAUAUGUUAUCACUUAUAGAAUGUAUAGGAUGUAUGUUAAAAGAAAUGAAAAACACAUAGUUCUUUGUUUUGAACUAAUUGAAAAAAGCUAAAUGAUUUUAAACAAUUGAUAAAUAUAUAGCAAAAAACAGGUAUUUUUGUUGUUUUAUUUUCAUUUAUUUAUUGUGUUUGUUUGUGUUUUUUUUUUUUUUUUUUUUUUUCUUUAUUAAUUUCUGUUUUUGUUAUUAAGAUAUUAAAGUAUAGAUUUUUAAUUGGAGGGAUGUAAAAUUUUGCAUCAAUGUUGAAAAGAAAUGUUUAAUCUAAUUGUUUUAAAGAAAAAAUACAGUUCAGUCAUUUUCAGUAUAGUUAAUUAUUUUUGAAUAAUAUUAGUUUAAUGAAAAAUAUCUUGUAUGAUAUCUGCGAAAUAAGAAUUGGUCAUUUUCUGAUUCAUUAGGGACGACAUCAAAAGAUCAAUGUAGGAUAAAAAACUUAAAUCAAAUAGUUUGGGGGUGGGGGGGUUAAAAUUCUGCUAGUUUUGUACAUGUAUAUCUAAAAUCGAUUUUUACAUAUAUCCCUAUUGGUAAAUCAAUUUUUCCCAAAUUAAGUUAAGAGGGGGGUAGGGGGGGUCAGUGAAAAAACUAUGUGAAUUAAGUUUUUUAUCCUACAUUGAACUUUUGAUGUUGUCCCUUACAAAAACAUUGAUUGAUUGAUUGUUGGUUUGCUUAACGUCCAGUGGCAAAUAUUUCAUGCAUAUUCAGGACAAGAACAAGUUCACAAUAAAUACAACAGGUAGGUCUUGUCUUAAAAGAGGCCAUUUGGGAUGAUGGUCAGGGAAAUAAGAACUGCCACUAUAAAAUGAGGGUAUAUUGGAUAGGGACAGAAAUUUUGCCUUGCAACAGGCCACCUACAGGCCCUCAAAGAGUUGUUGCAAGGGUUCUUAACAUGCUUAACGUGCAAACAGUGUGGCACUCUCUUUACACGAGACAUCAGAUUUAACGUCCCCAUUCUGACCGGACGUGACUGCGAACUUAAUACAUCCAGCACAGCCAAACGGACGCCACACUUCGGCAAGCGUUUUACUGCCGGGGUUAGGAGAAGACCAAGUGACCAUAUUUCUAUUCCCCAGUCACCCUUGGGGUUGUUUUACAAAAACAAAAUAGCUUUAAAAGUUAUUAGAAACCAGGGCCGUAAAUAUAUUGAGGCAAAUGAGGCAAAUGUUGGGAAAAAAACUGAAACAAAAGAUUGUCUAUAUUCUUCAAAUCAAAUUGUUUUCACAGAAAGUUUCUUGCAAGAAGCAAGUUCUCCUCACUCUCUGAUGUCGCCCCUGCAUGUUUUUUGUGAUCCAUGUUUCUAUUUUAUUUUUAGUUUUCAGAGUUGAUGGUCUAUUGUUUGUACUUCUGUAUCCCGGGUUUGUCUUUUGUUCAUUUAUUGUCCUACUUUAUGACUAGAGUCUGAUUGUUGAUUUUCAUUGGUAAACCUGUGGUUUUGCAAUGUUGCAUAUCCAUCGAUGUCAAGACAUUGUGCGAUAAAAUGUUUUAAGAAUAAAUGAUGCUACUGACUACAUAAAAAAAUUGUCGUUUCUACAUGGAGAAUUGAACUUGAUAUCAAAGAAUACAAAACUGGCUCUUUUUUUUUUUUUUUUAGAUAAAACUAGAUAGCUGACAUGGUUUAAAUUAAAGUAAGACCACCAAUUUCCUGGUAUCAAAUCAUCUAUAAAAAAAACAUUAAUGUAUUGCCAUUAGACCUUUUACAUUAAAGGGUUAAACAUGCAUUAAGUCGUGUUCAGGCCCUUUAACAGAAAUUAAAGAAAUAUGGAGUAAACGUGCAGGGUAUCUAAUCUCACACAAUGUCAAUGCAUAGAAGAACGAGGAUCAACAUGAUCAAUGGUCAAAGUGUUUAUUCCUGUUCUUCAUCUUGAUAGUUGCUGGAGGGUCUUCAACAAUAAAAGAAUAAUUAAUAUCGUAAAACAAAGUCAAGAUGGUCCUUAGUGUUGACUUAAGCAGUACUAGUACUUAAAGUAUUAUACUGCACUGUCACUAUAUUUAAAACUUUUUUUUCUCAAAUCUUCUGGGGGCCUUGAGUGGACCCUAGACCCCUUUAAAAAAACCAUCAUUUUGCCUCGCUAUUAAAAGAGGCUAGUUACAACACUGGAAACAACCAUAAGAUACACAUUUGUGUAUCAAUUAUUUUUAUACAACCAUGUCGUAUAAUGCUAUCAUGUCGUCAUGGUAGUUGUCUGAAGGCGCAUUUAGUUUCCGGACAAUAACUUUAGUUUUAGUGAAUGGAUCUUUAUAAAUUUUACCGGAAUGUUCAAUACGACUAAAGGAAAGUUGGGAUUGAUUUUGGGGGUUAUGGUCCCAACUGUUUUGGAAUAAAGGGCCAAAAAGGGGGCCUAAAAUAAGCAUUUUUGUAGUUUUUAAACAAUAACUUGUGUUUAAGAGUAUGAAUCUCUCUGAAACUAUACCACAAUUUUCCAUACCAUAGACAAUUUAAAAGCAGUGUAAGGGAGAUAAUUCAAAAACAUUUAACAUACAAUGUUGGGUAUGUUCGGAUUAACCUCCCUUGCAUUACUGGUAAAUUAUGUAUAAAGUAAUGUCAGGUUUUAGACUAAUUUCAAAAAAGGGGGGUAGAAGUAGUUUUCAAUUUUUUUUUUCUCCAAAUUUCAAAUUUUUGAAAAGUUUGCAGAAGAAAUCUUUAAUUGCAAAAUAUUGUGCAAUAGAUUUGUAAGAUCUUCACAUUUGUUUUGGGAGAAACCCAUAUGUCAAAAAUUUGAUCACAAUCCAAAUUCAGAGGAAUGUUGUGUCCAUUCUUGCCCCAACUGUUCAGGGUUCAACCUCUGCUGUCGUAUAAAGUUGCGCCCUGCAGAGCAUCUGGUUUCUAGUGAUUAUAUAUGAUCCCUAAAAAUUUAGUGAUUAUAUAUAAUCCCUAAACUAACCAGUGAUUUUACAUAAUCACUGAUUUUACAAAUUCACUCUAACAUAUAUACUUAACCAUGUGUAUAUUAAAUAUUUAUUAUAGGACUAGGGAGUGAUGAUGAAGUUAGACUUGUUAAUGACUUGUUUGGAGAAAAAAGUGGAUAUAAUCCCUUAAUCAGACCAGUUGAAAAUGUCAAUGACACCCUAACAGUUGCAUUCAAUGUUGCAUUGAGCCAGUUGAUCAAUAUUGUAAGUAAUUUACUGAUAUAUGCAAAAGUUAGACACACUAUUUACAUUUUUAAUUUAUAAAAUUUAGGGCUUUGAUAAACAUUCCACAAUAAUAUCUGUUAAUCUUGGACUUGGAGUGAAUCUGACCUAUCUUAUGAUGGAGGAAUAUCACUUGUAAAUUACAUAUUUAAAAAAAUGUUUAUAAUUAGUGCUUUCCUAAAUGCAUGAAAUGAGAGGCUUAUAAAUAUUUUAAUAUAAACAAAUAUUCAAACACUCAUUUUGAAUUCAGAAAGAUCACACAACCUCAGACAGUACACUGUACAGUAAUAUUAAUGUGGAAUCAUUUAUUAAUUAUAGAAAUUCAAAAUGUUACUGAAUACAAGUUUUUAGAUUCACAACUUACAUCACUUUAAAAAAAGUAAUGGUUGGUUACCUGAAUCGCUCCCUCCCGGUGUAGCAUUUUAUUGCUGCAUUGAAGACUCAGAGGUGGCCUUCCACUGUUAUCUACUCUUUGGUUCCAUUUUCUCUUUGACAUAUUCCCCAUUUCCAUUCUCCAUUUUAUUGUUUGUACUACUUCUGGAUACCCAUGAUCUUGUAAAUUCAUGGACAUAUGACACUAUUUUAAUGUCGAAGCAAGUUUUGAUGAAUGUCAGAAAACAUUUUUGAUAUGCCACAGGUGUGUAUUUUAAGUUCACAGAGUGCUGAAACUAUGCCAUGAAUAUGUUACAGACACGCUAGAGCCAGAUAAAAAUGUUUAUGCUGCAUAAAAAGUUAAAAUGUUCACCAAGUAUAUACCUUCUCAUUUCGAAGUACUUCGAACUUAUGCAAUAUUUGCCUGUUAAUAAUAGAUAUAUUGUUAUUCCUUUUUUAUGUGUAUGGCCAGCUCUGGUCUGGCUGUGGUUUAACAUCUCAGAAUUGAAAUAGUUAAAUUCAUAUUUAUGAUUUACAUGUAUGUCAACAUUAUUGUAACAAUUAUAAAAAUCAUUGUAAUAAAUUACUUUGCUCUUCAUGGGCCCUUUAAUUGGAAUAAAAAUAUCUUAUCUUAUCUUAUGCAAUACACGUCUAACAAUUGCUUAUCAGUCCUCUUACUGCACCUGACUUAGUCAAUUUUAGCAAAUUAGUAGGCCAGUGUGGAUUUCCAACUUAGAAAUUUCAGAAAUGGAUAUAUAAAUAUUUAUAGUUAUAUGACCUUUCAUAGGGCUAAAAAAUGGGAAAAGUUUAGAUUCAUUCUAUUUAAUAGACAAAACUCACUCUGAAAAUAUAUAUGUUCAUUUUAAUCUUUUGUAAAUUUAUAUAAUUCAUAUACAAAUCACAGGCACUUGUCUCAGAAUUUUUCCCCCUAUAUAUCUUAAAGUCAUAAGAAACGAGUGUUUAUCCAAUUCUUGCACCAAUGCAUGCAUAUAUCAUAAACCUCUUCUGUGCAUGAUUUUAUCAUUUUUUACGCAACCAUAUCGUAUAAUUGUCAAUUUUUUUUCUCUCCGUUUGUUAUGAAGUGAAAAUAUGGAAGCUACUUAAAUGUCGUGUUUUGAAGCCGAAGUUUACCGAUAGUCACCUUAUAGUAAACAAAUAACAUAAAGCAUGGGUAUUGAGCACGUGUUUAACAUGUACAAUCAGAUAAUUGUUUAUUUUAAUGACAGAUACAUGCGUAUUGCGAUCACUAGAUUUUUACAAGGAGGGUUACGCUCAGGUCACUAUGCAUACGGAAAAUAUGUCGGCGAAUUCCUGGAAGGAAGCAGCAAUUAAAAAUAAGUAAACUUCUUCUAAAUGUGGACGAAUUUAAGAAUUUUCCUCAGAAAAAAGUAUAUGUACAUAAGUUGUAUAAUGAAAACUAUCCAUUUUGUUAUAAAAAUAUAUGCAUUUUUUUUUUUUAAUUUGAGGUUUCUUAUGACUAUAAUAUAAAAUGUGUUAUAAGUGCUUCUGAUACAAAUGUAUAUUGUGAAUAAAAAAAGUUAACCAGUAAAACAUUUUCAUUUCAAUGAAGUCUUUAAUUCAGACUUCACCACGAAAACAUAAACACCCUUUCAACGGAGGCUUUUGUGUUGUCAAAAUCUCUUGACAUUCAUGCUUUACACAUGUCAGUAAUAUUGUGUACCUUGUUGUGAUAUCACGCAUAAAAUAGAAUAAUGUAAAAAUUUGAAAGAAAUUAAACCUCUAAACUUUUUUAUGAAGAAGAAAUAGACAACAAAUAUGAUAUGAAUACAAAAAUAUUUUACAUUGAAGACAUAUUAAAUAGAUAUAAUAAGAAACUUAAGUUAUUUACAUACAGACACAAAAAACUUUGUCAAGAUAAAAGCUUUUAAUUUUGAUAUGGUACAAUGAUUUUAUUGUAAUGAAAUAUGUUACCAAAUUCUGUAUAAGCAUAGAAGUUAUAUUUACUUCCAUGGUAUAAGUGACCAAAAUCUAGAAAUUGAAAAGAGUAAAUAUUUAAAAUUCCCUUAAUAGACUUUGCAAACUUUACAAUGUUCUUGAAAACCAGGAACAUUUCACUUUGGAGUGCAAUAAAUAAUAAAUCAUGAAAUUGGAUUUAAAAAAAAAUUUAAAAUGGGAAACAAAUUCAUGUCACUUUCAACAGAUAAAAAAAUAAUAAAAUCAUUAAAACUUUUAUCAUCUAAUCUGAACAGAUAAAAUAUAUGCAAAAUUAUGGAUUAAAUUCAGUAAUUAAUAUAUGUAUUGCAGGAUGAAAAGAAUCAGAUAAUGAAGACAAAUGUCUGGCUUCAGAUGGUAAGUUUAUAAUCAUUUCAGAUGACUUUAAUUUCUAUAGUAUUAAGUUUGACAUUUUCAGAAUCCAAACUGUAGAUGAGCUUUAAAAUAUAUCAGCGUCAGCAUGGUACAAAAUAAACUGAUAAGGAGUUUUUUAAAACUGACUGUGCCAUGAUGAUAAGAAAUAAAAAUUAAAGCCCAUGUUCAAAUAAUUCAUCAUAGAAAUUCAAGUCAAAAUAUUACUUAUUUAUCAUGAAUAUAGCAGUAUAGAUAUAAAACAAUUCAUUAUAGCAAUUUGGCCUAUUAUAUAUACCAGUGGCGGAUCCAGAAAUUUUCAUAAGUGGGGGCCCACGGACUGACCUAAGAGGGGGCCCGCUCAGGCUUCAAUGGUUCCCUAUAUAAGCAACCAAAUUUUUUCCCAAAAAGGGGGGGCCUGGGCCCCGUGGGCCCCCCCUCUAAAUCCGCCUCUGUAUACUACAACUGUUUGUCUUCACAACUCAUCUGAAACCAAACUAGAGAAUUUCUAAACUGUAGGUAAUAAGGACAAAGUAUGAUAUUAAUUUUUUAUACGACCGCAAAAAUUGAAAAUUUUUCGUCGUAUAUUGCUAUCACGUUAGCGUCGUCGUCGUCCAAAUACUUUCAGUUUUCGCACUCUAACUUUAGUAAAAGUGAAUAGAAAUCUAUGAAAUUUUAACACAAGGUUUAUGACCACAAAAGGAAGGUUGGGAUUGAUUUUGGGAGUUUUUAUCCCAAUAUUUUAGGAAUUAGGGGCUAAAAAGGGCCCAAAUAAGCAUUUUCUUGGUUUUCGCACAAUAACUUUAGUUUAAGUGAAUAGAAAUCUAUGAAAUUUUGACACAAGGUUUAUGAUCACAAAAGGAAGGUUGGGAUUGAUUUUGGGAGUUUUGGUUCCAACAGUUUAGGAAUUAGGGGCCAAAAAAGGGCCCAAAUAAGCAUUAUUUUUGGUUUUGGCACAAUAACUUUAGUUUUAGUAAAUAGAAAUCAAUGAAAUUUAAACACAAGGUUUAUGACCACAAAAGGAAGGUUGGGAUUGAUUUUGGGAGUUUUUAUCUCAAUAUCUUAGGAAUUAGGGGCUAAAAAGGGCCCAAAUAAGCAUUUUCUUGGUUUUCGCACAAUAACUUUAGUUUAAGUGAAUAGAAAUCUAUGAAAUUUUGACAGAAGGUUUAUGAUCACAAAAGGAAGGUUAGGAUUGAUUUUGGGAGUUUUGGUUCCAACAGUUUAGGAAUUAGGGGCCAAAAAAGGGCCCAAAUAAGCAUUAUUCUUGGUUUUGGCACAAUAACUUUAGUUUUAGUAAAUAGAAAUCAAUGAAAUUUAAACGCAAGGUUUAUGACCACAAAAGGAAGGUUGGUAUUGAUUUUGGGAGUUAAGGUUCUAACAGUUUUGGAAUUAGGGGCCAAAAAGGGGCCCAAAUAAGCAUUUUUCUUGGUUUUCGCACCAUAACUUUAGUAUAAGUAAAUAGAAAUCUAUGAAAUUUAAACACAAGGUUUAUGACCAUAAAAGGAUGGUUGGUAUUGAUUUUGGGAGUUUUGGUCACAACAGUUUAGGAAUUAGGGGCCCAAAGGGUCCAAAAUUAAACUUUGUUUGAUUUCAUCAAAAAUUGAAUAAUUGGGGUUCUUUGAUAUGCCGAUACUAACUGUGUAUGUAGAUUCUUAAUUUUUGGUCCCGUUUUCAAAUUGGUCUACCUGAAGGUCCAAAGGGUCCAAAAUUAAACUUAGUUUGACAAAAAUAGAAUCCUUGGGGUUCUUUGAUAUGCUGAAUCUAAAAAUGUAUUUAGAUUUUUGAUUAUUGGUCCAGUUUUCAAGUUGGUCCAAAUCGGGGUCCGAAAUUAAACUUUGUUUGAUUUCAUCAAACAUUGAAUAAAUGGGGUUCUUUGAUAUGCCAAGUCUAACUGUGUAUGUAGAUUCUUAAUUUUUGGUCCUGUUUUCAAAUUGGUCUACAUUAAAGUCCAAAGGGUCCAAAAUUAAACUUAGUUUGAUUUUAACAAAAAUUGAAUUCUUGGGGUUCUUUGAUAUGCUGAAUCAGAACAUGUACUUAGAUUUUUGAUUAUGGGCCCAGUUUUCAACUUGGUCCAAAUCAGGAUCCAGGGGUUUCAAUUUUUCUCAUUUGAAAUUUCAUAAAUAAAAAUAAAAUUUCUUCAAACAUUUUUUUGGGAGGAUUAAUAUUCAACAGCAUAGUGAAUUGCUCAAAGGCAAAACAAAAAUUUUAAAUUCAUUAGACCACAUUCAUUCUGUGUCAGAAACCUAUGCUGUGUCAACUAUUUAAUCACAAUCCAAAUUUAGAGCUGAAUCCAGCUUGAAUGUUGUGUCCAUACUUGCCCCAACCGUUCAGGGUUCAACCUCUGCGGUCGUAUGAAGCUAAGCCCUGCAGAGCAUCUGGUUUUUUCUAUGCUUCUUUGAACUUAUAAUUAUACCCCCGCUUUGAAAAAAGGGGGGUAUACUGUUUUACCUCUGUCUGUCCUUCCGUCUGUCCCAUGAAUAUUUUUCGUCACAUUUUUCUCAGGAACUACACUACCAGGAUUUCUGAAAUUUGGUUUCAGCUUGAUAUAAGUCAGCUAUACCGUGUGAUGCAUUUUCAGAUUCAUCACUCAACAACUUCCUGUUUACCGAACACUUGUUUGAUUUUACACAUGAUAGCCAAGUUGAAAAUUUUUCGUCACAUUUUUCUCAGGAACUACAAUACAAGGAUUUCUGAAAUUUGGUUUAAGGGUUAAUAUAAGUCAGCUAUACUGUGUGAUGCGUUUUCAGAUUCAUCACUUGACAACUUCCUGUUUACCGAACACUUGCAUAUUUUUACACAAUUAAUAUUAUCCACUUGCGGCAGGAGUAUCAUCAGUGAGCAGUAGCUCGGAGUUUCACUUGUUUUAACAUAAAUAUACAGCUGCAACAGUCUGUCAUGGCUACUCCUCCUAAAACACAAAACACAGAAUUUCACGAAGCUUUCUAGUUAAUGAAUCCAUUAUAUGUAGAUGUGGAUAUCCAUAAGAAUUUUUUAUCCGUUGACUCUAUAAAGAGUUGUACAAAAUCUUAUAAACCAGGUCAAAGGGGACUAAUAGGUUUGCACUCCAUCCGUCUGUGUUUUCAGACAUUUAUACCUAUAUUUCUUAAUAUUUGUCAUAAAUAAUUUGUGAUGAAAAGAAUCAAACUAAAGCUCUAUUGGAGUAGUUGUGUUCAGAGACCUCAGUGUUUGUAUUUCUCUCUAUUUCUUAGUUAUACAAGGUUACAGGUAGUGUUAAGAUUUUUAUUUUUAUUUUUCAGUAUUGGCAUGACUACCAAAUUAGAUGGGACCCUUCACUUUAUGGUGGCAUUAAAAAUAUACGCAUUGAUCAUGAGAAGAUAUGGAGACCAGAUAUUGUCUUAUUCAACAAGCAAGUAUAUGUUUCUUAGUUAUCUUACCUCAUAUACAUUUCCAGUAAUAUCCUUGGUUAAAAGUGACCUCGUGGAGAGUGUUUAUUUCAUAUGGGGUUAGUGGGUGUGGUUUAUUGUAAUACAUGGUUAGUAGUGGUGUUACAACCUAUUAUAAAAAACAAAACAGCGUUGAAGAAAUGUCUGAAAAGUUUUGCCGUGACAACAGAUGAAGAAGUUGAUAAUCAAAAAAUGCAGAUAACACAUUAAAAAAACUUACAAGUUAUUGUUAGCAUCUGAUUUUGUAUAGACCAUUGGAAGUAAUGAUAGCUAGAUCAUUUAUAUUGAAGACUUGAUCACUAGUCUAAAUGCCACAUGUUAUAAUAGUCAGUAAGAUAAAUUUGUUACACAGUGUUCUAGUGACUUUAAUAUGUAUAGUGUCAGUAAAUAUGAUAUGGGGUUCGAGCUUAAUUUCACUCUCACCCCUAAAAGAUAUAUGUAUUUUUGGGGUUUAUGGCCCUUAACACUCACAAUUCUGCAUGUUCUGUGUACCACAUUCACAUUUAAUUUUCUGACCAACUGAGAAUAUUUUCAAGGAAACACAUGUUAUUAUUUUACAAAGAUUUAAUAAAUUUAAAUAGCAUUCUUGAUCACCUUUGUCUCAAAAUGUACGGUAAUUCUGAUCUACGGUCAUGCACAUUUUAUAAAAUAUACAAAUAAAUUUUAACAAAUUUCAAAUAACACAGAGACAUUUUAGACUUUUUUUUGUUUCAUUUUAUAACCUAACAAUCAUAAUGAAAAGGCAUUCCUGUCCACAGUCCUGGAUUUAGUGGUCCAAGAGGGUUGUUAAGCUUAUAUUGAUACUCUUAAUUGCUCAUUUAAAAAAUCCUUCAUACGUUAUUAACUUUUUCUGUUGUAGUGCUGAUGGAAAUUAUGAAGUAUCUUACAAAUCCAAUGUAGUGCUGAAUUUUAGUGGUGAUCAUUACUGGGUACCACCAGCAAUAUAUAAAAGUUCUUGUACAAUUGAUGUGCAAUAUUUUCCUUUUGACCAACAAAUAUGUGAAAUGAAAUUUGGAUCAUGGACAUUCAAGGGAGACCAAUUACAAUUUAAGUUUUAUAUGAAUAUGGAUUUUGUUGAUCCAACUGACUAUCUAAAGAGUGGUACCUGGGAUAUUAUUGAAUUUCCUGGCAAAAUUCAAAGAAUCAAUGAUACAGAAUCUCAUGAUUACAAAUAUCUUAUUGUUUUCAAAUUCAUUCUAAGAAGGAAAACAUUGUUUUAUACAGUGAAUUUGAUCAUACCAUGUGUUCUUAUAUCCUUUGUUAGCAUUUGUGUGUUUGCUUUACCAGCUGAUGCAGGAGAAAAGAUAACUCUUUGUAUUUCUAUUUUACUUGCAUUGGUUGUGUUUUUAUUGCUGAUUUCAAAAAUUCUACCUCCUUCAUUAAAGAUACCAUUGAUAGCAAAAUAUCUACUAUUUACGUUUAUAAUGAACAUAUUUGCUAUUUGUUUGACUGUAGUUGUGAUUAAUAGGAACUAUAGAACUCCUAGAACGCACAAAAUGCCUUACUGGGUGCGAUUUGUAUUUUUAUACAUGCUUCCAAAACUACUUUUUCUUGAACGUCCAAAUCAUGAUAUCAGAUGGCGUCACGUUAAUGAACAGACUACAUCUAAUCAAGCAAAUCAAGUGAAACAACAACAGCAAGUUCAUCAAACAAGCUAUUUUUCUCCAGAGCAUCAUCAAGUCUCAAGUAGUAGACAAUCCAGUUUGUUGGAGUUAACUGAGAUCCAUCAUCCAAGUUGCAGACUAAGUCCAAACCAAAUCAAUUGUGAAAUGAGUGAUGAAAAUGGUGAACAGUUCCCAAAGAGAGUUACAGCUGAAUUACAUAAAGCUACAGAAGCUCUAAGUUUUAUAACAUGUCAUCUGGAAACUGAGAAUGAGUUUGAAACAGUAAGUAUAUAGAUCGAAGAACUGGAACAUGAGUUGGCUUUUACUUCUGGUUGACACAUUUUUCACAGAUUUUAAAUAUUUCACAUAUUAUACCAUAAAUGAAGUUUUCCUACUUUGAUUUAGUUGAAACUUUGCAUAACUGUUGGAAUUGUUGAACAUAACACUUUGAUUUAAAAACAGGUAUCCUAGGGCAUGAUUUUCUACAGAGCCAUUGUAUUUGCUAACAUUUAAAUGCCUUCGAAAUAUUCCAUAUUAUUCUUGCAACAAUUUUAAUAUACAUUGUAUGUUUAAAAAAAUUAUAUCAUGCCCUCAUGGCAUCAGGGAUGGGGUCGAUUACAUUGAAAUGUAAUCUAUUAAAUUACAAUUACUUUGCUAAUAAAAUGUAAUUCAUUACAUUACAAUUACACCUAAUUUCAAAUGUAAUUGAUUACAUUAGAUUAAUUUUCUUUAAAGUAAUCAUGAUUACUUUGGAUAACUUAUGAUUACAUUGUAUAUUGCAUUAUCAAAGAAUUUUUUAUACUUUUUUCUCAUCGUCGUAAACUUUAACAAAAAUCUUCUUCUGAAACUACUGGGCCAAAUUUAAUCAAACUUUGGCACAAUCUUCAUUGGGGUAGCUUGUUAAAAAAAAUGUGUCCGAUGACCCGGCCAACCAACCAAGAUGGCUGCCAUGACUAAAAAUAGUAGGAGUUAUUGCCCUUUGUAGUCAAUUUUUAACAAUUUUUCUAAAAUUUUAGUUAUCUUUUAAAAAAAUCUUCUCCUCUGUAACUACAUAGACAAAGGACAAGGUACGAUAAGGCCAGUUUUUGCCCCCCCCCCCCCCCCCUCCCUAUGUUUUCAUUUUUCAAAUUCUGUUUUGGAAAGCUACUUAUUAUGUUAAAAUAUUCCCUGAUGUUUGAAGUAUGUUUGGAUAAACAAUUGUAAUUAUUAUUCAUUUUGCAGGUGAUUUUACAACAAUUUUUUAGUUUUUUUAGUGCCUGCGCCAACUUGACCCAGGAAUAUUUUAACGUGAUAAGUAGCUUUCCAAAACAAAUUUAGAAAAUGAGAAAAUAGGGGGGCCAAAAACAGGCCUUAUCGUACCUUGUCCUUUAAACAAACUUGGCAACCAUCAUCUUAAGGUUUGAAGUAAUGAAUGUAAUCUUAAAUUCUAAUAUGACGUGCUUCUUUCGCUAAACAACACUAUGAUAAAAUUCUUGAUAUAUCUAUACUUAGCGCAGACUCAGAGAUAAACAUGAAAAUGAAUGUUGAAAACAAUGAACCUUCCAUAUAAAUCCACAAGUAUUAGAACCUAUUUGCAAACGCUUUGCCGAUUUGUUUUGUUUUAAUAAAAUUGCAAUUAAAAAAAGACAAAAGAACUUUUAUUCUUAUUCCGAUGCAAAAUAAAAAGAAAUAAGGCACAAGAUCUUGGAGAAAACAACAAAAUUGAAAUAAAUUAAAAUUCCACGAAAGUUUAUUAAUGUUUUUGACACAUUUAAGUCAUUUCAAAACAUGACGUCAUACAUAUGAUAAAAGCUAGAGUUGAAGGUUCACCGUUACGUAAACCAUCGAAAUUCAUAUGAUUUUGUAUUAAAAUGGAUUUUUGAGGUAGGUUUUGAAUCAUUCUCUAUUCUAUUGUAUUAUUCACAUAUUUACUGAUUUCAGCAAGUCAACGUGGCCACUCCUAACUAAGUUAUGAAAUGUCAAUUUUGGAUUUGACAAUAGCUUACGAGAAAAACAUGUAAAUUGAAAAUGGCAAAUGUUGUGUUUGAGCAUUAAAAGAAUUGAACAGAUUUUUUUCUAUCAGUUAUUCACAAAAUGAUCCAUGUAAACUACAGAUUUAUUAGAAUUUUUUAGCUUUAUCUAAUAGGGGGUAAAAGAUAACAGCCACACACACGGCAUACUUACCCUCGCUUCAGUUUUUUAAUGCCCGUAUUUGUGCAUGGAAGUCAUAGAUUUGUUGGAAAUUUACACAUGGCCUGGGCCGUGAUAUUCGUUAAUUUUAUCCCUCUCUAACACUCAGGAUAAAAUUCGAAUAUCAUGGCCUUGGUGUAAAUUUCCAACAAAUCUAUGGCUUCCAUGAAUUAUUUCUUAAGUAAUCUAUUAGUAAUCAUGAUUACACCUGUUUUAUGCAAUGUAAUUGAUAGUAUUAUAAUUACUUCUAAUCAGAAAUGGCAUGAUUACUGAUUACAUAGGAAUACUCUGCAAAAUGUAAUCGAUUACAGCUGAUUACUAUUAAUGAUUACGAUUACCCCAUGCCUGCUUGGCAUAGCUGUUAAUUUGCAUGGCAUUAUCACCCUUUAAUGUCUUCACCUGUUUAAAUUCUUCAAGACUUUAAUUUGACUUUAUUUCGUCUAUGAAAAUAAUGCCUAAAAUUUGUAUACACAUAUUAUUAACAUUAUAAGUCAUUUGAAAGAAAAGGCAGUAUAUUUUUCAAUUGCAAACCAAAAUCUCCAAUUUAAUCUUUGUAUUAUCUCUCCUAAUCUGAUGUUUGUUGAUAUGUAUAUACUACAAAGUUAUCUUUUCUUAAUUUGAUUUCAUUUCAGGUUUUAGAUGAUUGGCGGUAUGUAGCCUUGGUUAUAGACCGACUUUUGUUUUAUGUCUUCCUGAUUGUAACCAUUGGUGGAACUCUGGGAAUUUUAAUGCAAGCCCCUCAUAUUUUAGAGUUUGUUGACCAAGAUGAAAUUAUUGAGAAUGUGAUAAGAAAAAUCAACACAAUAAAGAAUUAAAAGUUGAAUAGAACAUGAAAGUGUCUAUGAUCAUGAUGAGUGUUACUGGAAUGGAGUUUAACAUAUAACUAUUGAAGUUACUGUGCAUUAGUGGUAUGGAGAUACACAUAUAUACUAUUAGUUGUAAUGUGCAUUAGUGGUAUGGAAUUAAACAUGUAUACUAUUUUAAAAAGUUACUUUGCAUAAGUGGUAUAUACUAUUAGUUGUAAUGUGCAUUAGUGGAAGUUGUAGAUGAAAGUGCACUUAUCUCAUCAGUGAUGAUUUGAACUUAACUCAAUAUCAUUGUAUAAUUUUAUUUUUGUUAUUUAGUAUUUAUACCCCUCUAUAGCAGGGGAGGCACUAUUAAGUUUUACUUGUUUUUAAUUGCAAUACUUUAUAUAUACAUAUUAUGGACAUUAUCUGGAUCAAUACAAAGGGUGAACAAAAAUUUUAAAUUGAUGAAUCUCAAUUUUAGGUUAUCAUGGUUAUGUUCAAAUCACAACUUCAUUUUCAAUUAAAGUCAUAUAUGAUUCUUCAAAUGUAAAAAAAUAAGUUUGAUAUGGUUUUAAAUAUAUGUACAUGAACUUUCUUUAAGAGAAAAUCAUAUAUCUAAUCAAAUCUUAAGAAAUGUACUUCUUAUAAUUCAACAAUAGCUUUUCUGUAACCAUGAUACCUCUUGUUUGAACUUUGGCGAACGCACAGUGAAAAUUUGAUUGGAAAACUAUGAUUAAUUGGGUCAACAAACAUGGUAGAGUUAGAGUUAAUUGAUUCUGGAAGAACCAAAUCAUGUAGCAAUUCUUAUUUUUUAAUUAACAAAUAUAAGCAUGGAAAAUUAAUAUGAAGUAAAAACAUAACAUAUCCCCAUCAUGCUCAACUUUCCUGUGUUGACUAUUUAUUAAGGCUACAAUUGAUAAACUUCAGCAUUAAUAAGGUUAAUUAGAAGGGAAGUUUUUACUGAAUAAAAUUUUUUUGUCGAUUUAUGUAAUGGAUUUAUCAUAAAUGUAAAAAAAAUUGUGCAAAGAGGACGUUACAUAAAUUUAGUAUAUAUGCUUUCAUAAUGUUGGAUGAAAUACAGUCUUAGAAUUUUAUUGAUUUGAUUUGGCUUCUUCCUAGAUUAAGGAUAAUGUAAUCAGAAGGUGGCACCUGACACUCAACCAACCUAUAGAAAAAUCAUAAUCUCUUUUGCUUUUGUCAGUCUUUAAGUGGUGAUAGCUCUAGAUCUUGCAUCAUAUUUGUGAUGCAUCCAUCAUCUCUUGAUUUGUAGUCAUUAUUUAUAAAAUGCACCACACUUCUAUGUAUCCUUUCUAGUUGGUCUUUUCCUUUCCUUGUAUACAUAUGGUUUCCAUAUAAUGGCUCCAUAUUUAUGCAUUUUUAACCGGAUUUUUGUGACAAAAAUGUCGGUUAUUGAUUGGGAUGUACGGCGGGCGCGGCAAAUCAAAUGUUGUCCAUCGCAUUAACUCAUGAAACUGUUCAACCAAAGCUUUAAAUUUUAAUAUUUGUUAACUGAAACUAAAUGAAGGUCAAGUUCAAUAAUGGCGAUUUGACUUUACCGUUCAGGAGUAUGUUCUUGAAAGAUUGAAAAUGGAGUUCCAGUCGUGUCGUGCAUUUACGCAUAACGUUCUCCUAAGUUUCCCAAAUUUUUAUAUGUUGUUACUGAUGACAAAUGAGUCAAGUUCAAUAAUGGCGAUUUUGACUUUUACCGUUCAGGGGUAUGGUUCUUAAAGAUUGAAAAAUGGAGUUUCCAGUCGUGUCCAUGAUUUACGCAUGAACGUGUUCUAUUAAGCUUCCCAAAUUUUAAUAUGUUGUUACUGAUGGAAAUUAAAGUCAAGUUCAAUAGUGAAGAUUUUGACUUUACCUUUCAGAGUUAUGGUUCUGAAAUAUGUGAAAUGGCGUUUCCAUUCACGUUGUUGCAUUUACUCAUGAACCAUUCAAUCUAAGCUUUCAAAUUUAAGAUGUUAUACUGAUGACAAAAUGAGGUCAUUUGAUAUUGAUGAUUUCACUUCACCAUUCAUCAGUAAUGGUUCUUGUGAUAUUGCAGGACACAAAUAAAUAUUAAUAAAUCCGGUUUGCUGUCGUUGUGACAGCCUCUUGUUCUUACAUUCUUUGAGGCAAUAUUGUAAAAUCUGAGGGAUUUCAAGGUAAAACUUUUUUUUUUUUUUUUGCUAGUGUUUGCUAAAUGUAUCCCUCAUUUUGGGUCGAAAAAGAUUUUAAUUCUGGGGUACAGAGGGUACGAGAAAUACCACAAAGGACCUACUUAGUGCACUUAGACCUGAAUUAGUAUAAGGGACCUGAUGGAAUGAUACGAUUGUCACAAAGGACAUACCAUAUAGAAGUAGACUUUGUAAUAAUACAUAAUUUCAAACUGUAUAAUCAUAUCUUUAGUAAUUAGAAAGUGAUUGAAUGUUUUAUUAACACUCACCAAACUCAGUUGAUUGUCACUUACAAAUGUGUGUAUUGAUAGAAAUUUAUGUUUGUUCAAUCUUGACUUGUCUAGAAUCUGCUUGUAUACUGUUUAAACAUGUAUUAGUAUGUGGUAUUUUAAAUGGUUCAAUUUUUUUGUUUGUUUGUUACUGCCAUAUUUAUAUAUUUUGUAUUUCUGUCUGUUAUAUUUUAAACUUCUAUGUGAUUGUGUAUUUCUACUUUGUUUUUGUUCUUUUUUGUUUUGUUUGCUUGUUUGUUUAGAUCAUUUUUUUAUUUUUCUCUAGUAAAUUUUAUACUGAGACUAUUAUACUAUUAGUUUUUUUAUAUAAAGAUAUGAAAAUAGUAAAAAACUUAUAUAUUUUUUUACCAACACAUUAGAAUACAUACACAUUUUAAGGUAAAGAUUGUAUGAAAUGUAAUCAAAACCCUAUGGGACUGACUUGAUAUCUAAAUGUUCCAAGGCUGAUCACUACUUUUUUGAUACAUAAAAUAGAGUGCAUUGAUAAUAACAUUCUAUACAUACUAUACAUGAACAUUUCCAGAAAUUUGUCGAUGUAAUAUAUGCUCAGAUAUUCAAGGCACAAAAUAAUGUUUCUCUUCAAUACAUAACUUUUGCAAGGUGCAAGAAUCUAAUAUCUGUUCCAAAAUGAUAAAUGUGUCAUUGUUAACCUUACCUUUAAACAUUGGAGUUAUCUUCCUUUGUCUAGAAUAGCUGUUAAAUCAACAACAACCAAUGCAAUAUUUAAAUUUACUUUCACUGAUAAAUUGAAGCAAUCUUUACCAUUCAGUACUUUCAAGCACUUUGAUUAAAAUAUAACAGUUAAGUUCAUUUACAUUUACCGGUAUAUACAUAUUUAGAUGCACCAUGUAACAGAAAGUGCAAUCAUCAUUUGGGAAAAAGGCAUUAUUCUUGCAGCGGCACUUUAUGGUCUAUGUCCUUGACCAUCUUUUAGCUGCACUUUUUAUACAACUACAAACUAUUUUGCAGUUGAAUAUUGGUUUCACGCCAUUAUCGUUGUUGUUAUUUGAAGACAUUUGGUUUUCACACAAUAGCCCCAAUAGAGGUUAAAAAAAUCGGGGGAAGGGGGAAGAUUUCAAACAAACAAAAUUGGGGGGGCAGAGGGGCCUAUUUGAAACAGCAUAGUGUAUUGCACAAAAGAAAAAAAAUGAAUAUAAAUUCAAAUCACAUAGCAAAGUUGGAGUGAGUAACAACCUUACUCAAGCAGAAGAAGAGGUUUCAGGGGACUAUCACUACAAAGUAAGGAUCCCUCCUUGGGCAAGAAAUAUUUCAAACUACAGAAGCCAGACUUUUAAACAGAAAACAGGAAAUGAGAAUGUAAAUAAUUUUAAUUUAAAAAGGUUUUUAAUUGGUUAUCAAGGUACCAGGAUUAUAAUUUAGAACGCCAGACGCGCGUUUCGUCUACAUAAGACUCAUCAGUGACGCUCAUAUCAAAAUAUUUAUAAAGCCAAACAAGUACAAAGUUGAUGAGCAUUAAGGAUCCAAAAUUCCAAAAAGUUGUGCCAAAUACGGCUAAGGUAAUCUAUGCUUUUAAAAGUGUAAAUAAUUUUACAGUUUUACUCAAAUUAAGCUGUAUACACACGAACACAGACCACUUAUUUACAAAGCUGCCUGAAUUGUCAAGGUGUGUUCAGUCUUAAGAAAUUCACCAUGAAGUUGUGAUCAAAUAAAGAUAAAUCUGAGUACAUAUAUAAAUCAGAAGAUGCAAUAUGAGUGCCAAUGAGACAGCUCUCCAUCCAAGUCUUACUUGAUUAAAAGUUAACAAUUAUUGGUUAUAGUACAUUCUUCAACAUGGACCUUUGGCUCACACCAAACAGCAAACUAUAAAAGGCCCAAAAUGAUAAAUAGAUAUGAACCACAGCAAUAAACGACAAUUACUAAACAACAAGCUCACGACAUAGAAUAGUAUGCUUAUUAUGAUUUAAAUUAUAAGAGUUGGUACAAAUGUACAAAUGUUUCAGUUCAAGUUAUAGUUUCAUUCUGAUUAAUAGAAGAGAGGACAAGAGGUCACUUAUCUAUCUAUGAUGAGUUUAUUUAUAGUAUCUAUUUUUUAUCGAUUUUAUUAUACAGUUUUACAAAAUGUUGUUAGUAUACAUUAUGAAACUGAAAUGUUACCAAGCAAUUUAGGAAUAGUCAAUGAAAAAUGUGUUCCUCAGUGGAAUUUUUUGAAAACAAACGAAACAAUUAUGAUUUAUUUUUCCCAAAUAUUGUCCAUUUUGGGGCAUCAUUUAUUCAAAAACUUGUGGUGCAAUUGAUCGCGAUAGAGGCUAUUGCCAAUGAGACAACUAUAUACAUAUACACCAUAGCUCAUACAAAUACAGGUUAUAUUCUUUUCAUAUAUUUUAUGAUGGUAUGAUUCUCAACCCCUAACGGGAGGGAUUGUGUUUGAUAUUCAUAUGAUCAAGACAUAAUCUUUCAAUCAGUUUAAUUGAGGUUUGGAGCUGGCAUGUCAGUACUGCUAGUAGUCCUUUGUUAAUUAUGUAUCAUUGUCAUUUUGUUAAGUUCAUUGUCACCUAUUCUGACAUUGGACACAGACUUUUUUUAAACUCAGUUUUACUGUCGGUAAUGAUGUGUGUUUGUUUUUAUACGACGCAAAAAUUGAAUUUUUGGUCGUUAUGGUAUCAGGUUGCGUCUUGUCGUCGUCGUCAUCGUCGUCCAAAUACUUUUAGUUUUAGCACUCUAACUUUAUAAAGUGAAUAGAAAUCUAUGAAAUUUUAACACAAGGUUUAUGACCACAAGAGGAAGGUUGGGAUUGAUUUUGGGAGUUUUGGUUUCAACAGUUUAGAAAUAGGGGCCAAAAAGGGCCAAAUAAGCAUUUCUUGUUUCGCACAAAAAACUUAGUUAAGUUAAUAAAAUAAUGAAAUUAACACAAGGUAUAUGACACAAAAGAAGGUUGGAUUUAUUUGGGAGUGAGGUCCCAACAGUGUAGAAUUGGGCCAAAAAAAGGCCCAAAUAAGCAUUUUUCUUGGUUUUGCACCAUAAACUUUGUUAAGUAAAUAGAAAUCUAUGAAAUUUAAACACAAGUUUAUGACCAUAAAAGGAAGGUUGGGUGUGAUUUGGGAGUUUUGGUCCCAACAGUUUAGGAAUAAGGGCCCAAAGGGUCCAAAAUUGAACUUUGUUUGAUUUCAUCAAAAAUUGAAUAAUUGGGGUUCUUUGAUAUGGCGAAUCUAACUGUGUAUGUAGAUUCUUAAUUUUUGGUCCCGUUUUCAAAUUGGUCUACAUUAAGGUCAAAGGGUCCAAAAUUAAACUUAGUUGAUUUAAACAAAAUGAAUCCUUGGGUUCUUUGAUUAUGCUGAAUCUAAAAAUGUACUUAGAUUUUUGAUUAUUGCCCAGUUUUCAAAUCAGGAUCCAAAAAUAUUAUAUUAAGUAUGUCAAUAGCAAGAAAUUUCAAUUGCACGUAUCAGCAAAUAGCAAGAAAUCUCAAUUGCACAGUAUGUGCAAUAGCAGAAAUUUCAAUUGCACAGUAUUGCGCAAUAGCAGCAAUCUCAUUCCAGUAUUGUGCAAUAGCAAAUAUUUUCAUUGCACAGAAUGGUGCAUAGCAAGAAAUACUAAUGCACAAUAUUGUGCAAUAGCAAGAAAUUUUCAAUUGAGUUAUCUUUCUUUGUCCAGAAUAGUAGUGGAAUCACGUUAAAUCACGUUUUAUCAAAUAUAAAUGUAUAUUCACUUCUUACUACCGAACUGAGGUAAAGUUCAAACAAUCUUUACCAUUCAGUGAUAACAAGCACUUUAUUUUACAGUUUUAAUAUUUUAUCGCUGAAUUUAAAUGAGUAGUUCAUUGUUGCAAAUCAUUGAAAUUUAAUUGAGAUCAGUUUGGAAAAAGGGAAAAGGGGGGUGUGAAAAAAAUGGGGGGGGGGUUAAAUUUUUCUCAAAUUUUAUUUUUCAUCAAUAAAAAGAAAAUUUCUUGCAACAUGUUUGUUUGAAGAGGACUAAUAUCAACAGCAUAGUGAAAUUGCUCAAAGCAAAAAAAAUAUUUUAAGUGCAUUAGACCAGGGAACAUUCAUGUCUGUGUCAGAAACCUAACUGCUGUGUCCAUCUAUUUAAUCACUAAUUCCAAAUUUAGCGCUGAAUCCAGCUGAAAUGUUGUGUCCAUACUUGCCCCAACCGUUCAGGGUUCAACCCUCUGCGGUCGUAUAAAAGCUGCGCCAUGCGGAGCAUCUGGUUUAAUAUGAGUUGGCUAUAUGUAUAAAAGGAGGGUUGAGAUCUCACAAAACAUGAUUAACUCCGCCUCAUUUUUGUGCCGGAGCCUCUAGCCUUUGUUGGUCUUGAUGGAUAGAUAAAGGAAGAUGUGGUAUGAGUGCCGAUGAGACAAGUAGUCUCCAUCCAAGUCACAGUUUAUAAAAGUAAACCAUUAUAGGUCAAGAUACGGUCUACAACACAGAGCUUAGGCUCACAAUGAACAGCAAACUAUAAAGGGCCCCAAAAAUUACUAGUUUAAAACCAUUCGAACGGGAAAACCAACGGUCUCAUCUAUAUAAAAAACGAACAACGAGAAACACUCAUGAAGUUUUGUAUGACGUCCAUUAUCACUGAACUAGUACAUAUCUUUGUUUAUUGGCCAGCUGAAGCACGCCUAAUAAUAAAUAAUGGGGUCACCGUUCCAAUUUAGGCUCACAAUCAACUUCCGAAAGACGCAUACAAAUUUGUUAAUGUCCAUUUUUUUUUCUGUUGAACUAAAAAGAACAAUAGAGGUAAUAUCGAAAUAAAAAAAGAACUAAAUUACAGAAAUCGCUUAAAUUUUACUGUUAUUUGGUUUAUGUACAGCUUAUUUGAAAACAAUAAUACAAAAUAUAGGUCACCGACGAGUUAAAAAAGAUAUUUCAAUUUUGAUGCCAAAAAAUGGCAAUUUUGUUAAAAGGCAGAUAAUUUUGAGCUUUUUUCAAUCAUAUUAACAUUUUAAAAGUCAUCUGGGGCCCAACCGAGUCGAUUUUGGGGGAUCUUUUUGUAUCAUAUCAUAAAGUAAUUACUAAUAGUGUAAUAAAUAAAAUUUGAAAUGAAAAAAACAAAUGUUUAAUUUUUUGCUGAAAGUUUUGUACCCGCAAGCCUCCUUUUAAGGUGUGGCAGUGGUUAUUAUAUAUAUUAUAUACACUUGCCAAAAGGUAAUCAAGCAGGGAUAAUUGGGUCAGUGGUUUAGGUCCCGUCUGAUGUCAAAGUCGUAACGAAUACAUUGCCGAGACCAGUGGACGAUAAUUUGUUAGUAAAAGUAAAAUUAAAGAGGAAAUUAGAGUACAAAUGUUAUGUUCAGUACGAAUUUGUGGAUAUCAAACAUGUGGAGAAAGCCUUCAACUAUGUACGGAAGCACAAUAAAUGGUAUGCAAAUAUAGAAUUAAACAGUCAGUGGAUGGAUACCAAUAAUGAACAGAAUGAAUCAUUUGAUGAAGUAAAUGAUAGUGCAAAUGAUUCAAAAAAUAAAUCAGACAAAAAAACCCCCAUGCUGAGGAAAGUUAUCUGAAUGAAAGUUUAAGAGGCAUUCAGUUAGAUACAUGUUUACAACCAGCAGAUAUUGACCAAGAGGUUUUAGAUUGUUACUUUAAUGAAGAAAAUACAUUNNNNNNNNNNNNNNNNNNNNNNNNNNNNNNNNNNNNNNNNNNNNNNNNNNNNNNNNNNNNNNNNNNNNNNNNNNNNNNNNNNNNNNNNNNNNNNNNNNNNNNNNNNNNNNNNNNNNNNNNNNNNNNNNNNNNNNNNNNNNNNNNNNNNNNNNNNNNNNNNNNNNNNNNNNNNNNNNNNNNNNNNNNNNNNNNNNNNNNNNNNNNNNNNNNNNNNNNNNNNNNNNNNNNNNNNNNNNNNNNNNNNNNNNNNNNNNNNNNNNNNNNNNNNNNNNNNNNNNNNNNNNNNNNNNNNNNNNNNNNNNNNNNNNNNNNNNNNNNNNNNNNNNNNNNNNNNNNNNNNNNNNNNNNNNNNNNNNNNNNNNNNNNNNNNNNNNNNNNNNNNNNNNNNNNNNNNNNNNNNNNNNNNNNNNNNNNNNNNNNNNNNNNNNNNNNNNNNNNNNNNNNNNNNNNNNNNNNNNNNNNNNNNNNNNNNNNNNNNNNNNNNNNNNNNNNNNNNNNNNNNNNNNNNNNNNNNNNNNNNNNNNNNNNNNNNNNNNNNNNNNNNNNNNNNNNNNNNNNNNNNNNNNNNNNNNNNNNNNNNNNNNNNNNNNNNNNNNNNNNNNNNNNNNNNNNNNNNNNNNNNNNNNNNNNNNNNNNNNNNNNNNNNNNNNNNNNNNNNNNNNNNNNNNNNNNNNNNNNNNNNNNNNNNNNNNNNNNNNNNNNNNNNNNNNNNNNNNNNNNNNNNNNNNNNNNNNNNNNNNNNNNNNNNNNNNNNNNNNNNNNNNNNNNNNNNNNNNNNNNNNNNNNNNNNNNNNNNNNNNNNNNNNNNNNNNNNNNNNNNNNNNNNNNNNNNNNNNNNNNNNNNNNNNNNNNNNNNNNNNNNNNNNNNNNNNNNNNNNNNNNNNNNNNNNNNNNNNNNNNNNNNNNNNNNNNNNNNNNNNNNNNNNNNNNNNNNNNNNNNNNNNNNNNNNNNNNNNNNNNNNNNNNNNNNNNNNNNNNNNNNNNNNNNNNNNNNNNNNNNAAUUACGAUAUGGAUUUCAUAAAUUGUUGAAAAUCGCAGUUAUAUAGAUUUGUUUUUAAACACUUUCAGAUAUUGAGAUGAUGUUUGACAUGUGAGACUACCAUAAUGUUUGUGUUCACAUGUGUUAUUGAAAUUGCAGACUGUUCAACAUUUUGAGACGUGGCCAUACAUAGUUUUAAAAAGAGUAAUGCCCUAUGGAAAUAUUAAAUAAAUGCAACAAGUGGGACAUCGGAACUAUAUUCUUUUAUUUUAAUCUAAAAGUGUUUGAUGUCAAUUUAGUAUCGGUUCAGGUAUCAUAAAGAUUGAAUUAUAUUGAGAUAUUCAGCACCAGAGGAAAGGGGUACAUAAUUGUCCACGAUAGUAAAAAAUUCUGUCAAGCUUUGAAACAAAAAUUGUUUUUGACUAUUUUUCUAUUUAUCAAGAUUGAAACUAAAUAUCCACUGGAUUUCUUUAGUAAUUAUGAACCACAAACUUAAAUGUUCAAAGUAUCAAUUUUCUAUCAACCAACUUUCUAUCAAAUAUCCACAGAAAUCCCAAUGAAAAUCAUUUAAUUCACUGUAGAUUUUUUUGAAGAGUUUAGAUAACUGAUUCAACUUUGUAUUUCAGGUAAGCAUCACAGGUUGUCCUGUUGGAUACUGGUUGGAGUAGAAUUUCUUUUUGAGGUGAGAAUAUAUUUAUUUGUCCACAUACAAGAGGGUGGUAAUGGGGAUACCUUUAUAACCAAUAACGGUAAAAAAUCUUACCAAAUAAGUUUACUGUAAAAUUUGGAGCAUGCAACAAAUUGUUAAGUUUUAGAUGAUGAAAAAAUCAAACAAAUUUUGACAAAUCAAUUUAGUUUUUUUCCAAAAAAUAACGAUAACAAUCAUUAUUUGAGACUUCUGACAAAUCAAGAGAAGGAUAUUUUUUCAAUCAAUUUGAUGCUAACAGUAGCCGAUAAUGACAGCUUGACACCUGAUGGUAAAGGGCAUUACUACCCUCAAACAAAUUUAAUUAAGUAAUGUAAACUUAUGGACAGUUUAAAUUUAUAUAAAUCUUUAUUAUUUGCAAUUAUAUUUCAUCUUAUAUUUUUUACUGCAACCUUUAUAUAUGUAAAUCAGAUGUUUUAAUGUUUAGAAGGUUUAUAGUUCUUUUUAACUACUUUCUCUUAUACCACUUUUAAACUUGCCUAAUAACCAUGAACUGAAUCAUUAAGAGAACCAUUAUUUUUACUAUAUUAAAGAAUUGUGAAUAAUUAAAAAGGGGAGAUAACCUCACAUUUAUUUGCAAUGAAAUGGCAAGUGCUGACACAUAGAUAAGAUGUCUUAAUUAUAUUACACUUUGCUUCUUAUUCAGUUUUGUAUUUCUUUCAAAACAAAUUUCCAAAGAAUUCAUUUCUGUAUUCAAUAAAUGGAGAAAACAAAGUAAAUUUCAUAAAACUAGAACCAAACAAUGAAAGAUUAUUGAAAUAUCCUGAAUAAUUAUAAUUUUAUCAUGUAUGUAAAUUUUUCAAAUUUUCAGCCUUCUGCUCUCGUUUGACACUCAAUAAAUGAUUAAUUCGAUAUUGGUAAUAGUGAUGUUGAACACCUUGAAAAUCAAAAUUAGCUUAUUAAAAUGUCUUCCAUUUCAUAACAAAUUUAACUGCACAAUCUCUCUCAGAGCAAUCUCUAUUGCAAUAUUUUUUGGUAAAUCAAUAAAUUUGAAUAGAAAACAAGUAUUUUUAUAUACAACAAAAUCUGUCUAUUUAAAAGAAAAAUUACCACUCAAAUAUUUACACAUUACGGUAAUUUACCUAAUUCAUAUAUUUUAACAUUACUUAAAAAAAUUACUAUGGAUUGUCAAGAAAUGAAAUAUCAUUUUAUUUCUUUUACAGGUGCCCUUGUGUGGUCAAUCCAAUGGACAAUAACAAUCAUGCAGACCAGAUAUAUAUUGCUUUUUUGUUUAAUAAAAUCUUUAAAUGGUAAUUCUGAAAGCCAAAUGAUUCAUUUUUUUAUGCUGUUAUUUUUUCCAUUUACUGUAAAUUAUCAAAUUAUUGUUUUUACGUAAUGCUGUUAUUUGUUUGGCUCAAAUGUAAUAUACAGAUAUUUAGUUCUAGCUUUUGAUAUGUAUUCCUAUGCAACUAAAAACUUGUAUAUAGUUAUAAUAAUAGUUAAUUAAUACUUAUCAUUUUAUAAUUAUUAUUUGAUGAAAUGGAAAAUUAUCAUUGUAAUGGUUGACAAUUUGAUAGAAUAAAAUAAGUCUUUUAUGGUUUACCUGUAGACAGGUCGACAGGUUGACAAGUCAACAGAUGCCUAUAUUAAGGAAGCUCACUUGACAUGUUUUGGAACUUUGGCCAGCUUUUCAAAAUCCUCUGGUUUUAUCCAUUUGAAUGACCCGCAUUUUUCUUUUUUUAAUUCUUUUACAUGUAUAAUGAUAAGCUGUCUGUUAAAAGCUUAUAAAAUUUUAAUUAAUUUUUUAAUAGUUUUUGAGGACUUUAACUUGUCAAUGAUAAAGCUAUGAAAAGUCAAGAGGGAACAUUUUCCCGCUAAAAUUUCAAUGGCUAAUAUAUCAAAACGAUCAUGGUGACCUUUUAUUUUUUUUGGCUCUUUUGAUUCCUUUAUUAAUCCCCUAUCAAUAUAAACUAGUCUUUUGAAAAGUUAAUUAUUUUGAAACAGAGAAGCGAACUCCCUUAAAAUAAUCUCUUUCUUUUUUAUCUCACUAAGUAACAAAAUAUAGGGCACUUACUUCCACAUUAAUAGAGCAUUUCCUUAACCCUUAAACUCACUUUCAUUCUUUACUUUAACCCAAACCCUCACCCUUAAUCUAACCCUUAAGGAAGUUUGCUGCUCAGUUUUAAAAUAAAUAACUUUCCAUAAAACUAGUAUAUAUUGAUAGGGGAUUAAUUGAGGAAUCAAAAUAGCAAAAAAAAUAUAGGGGUCAAGGUGCUUGUUUUCAAGAUAUAAGCCAUUGGAAUUUUGGUGGGAAAAUGUUCUCUUGAUUUUUCAUAGCUGUAUUAUUGACCAGUUAAAGUUCUCAAAAACUAUUAAAAAAUAGUUAGAUUUUAUAAGACUUUUACAAAUGGCUAAUUAUACAUGUAAAAGAUUUAUAAAAAGAAAAAUAGAGUUCCAUGGGCAAAACAUUUUAAUGGAUAAAACCAGAGGAUUUUGUUAAUCUGACAAAAAUUCCAAAACAUGACAAGCAAACAUCCUUCAUCAUAAUCCUUAAACUAGCUGCCCUAACCCUAACCUUACCACUAAUCCUGGAAACUUGUCAACCUAUGUAGGUAGACAAUUAUUUGUAAAAGUUAAUUUGUCGACCAACAAUUUUGUUAAUGUUAAGUUGUCGACCAACAAUUUUGUUAAUGUUAAGUUGUCGACCAAUGUAGACAAUUUUUAACCGGAUUUUUGUGACAAAAAUGUCGGUUAUUGAUUUGGGGAUGUACGGCGGGCGGGCGGCAAUCAAAUGUUGUCCAUGCAUUAACUCAUGAACUGUUCAACCAAAG
rnacentral:lncRNA from 1 species